rnacentral:rRNA from 1 species
GACGAACGCUGGCGGCGUGCUUAACACAUGCAAGUCGAACGGAAAGGCCCUGCUUGCAGGGUACUCGAGUGGCGAACGGGUGAGUAACACGUGGGUGAUCUGCCCUUCACUUCGGGAUAAGCCUGGGAAACUGGGUCUAAUACCGGAUAGGAGCCAUUUUUAGUGUGAUGGUUGGAAAGUUUUUUCGGUGUGGGAUGAGCUCGCGGCCUAUCAGCUUGUUGGUGGGGUAAUGGCCUACCAAGGCGGCGACGGGUAGCCGGCCUGAGAGGGUGGACGGCCACAUUGGGACUGAGAGACGGCCCAGACUCCUACGGGAGGCAGCAGUGGGGAAUAUUGCACAAGGGGCGCAAGCCUGAUGCAGCGACGCCGCGUGGGGGAGGACGGCCUUCGGGUUGGAAACUCCUUUCGCUAGGGACGAAGCUUUUUGUGACGGUACCUAGAGAAGAAGCACCGGCUAACUACGUG